CCCGUUUCAGCACCUCGAACUACAAGAUUGUGCCAUUACAUGUGUCUUGCACUGACAGACUGCAGACCUGGCACAGGCCUCGGACCCAGGGCCCCUUCCUGACCCGGGUGUGAUGUCUGUUGGAGAGAAAUUGAAAGACAUUCAGCCACAGCUGGGGAUCUGUAAGAUUCUUCAUGGACUUGAGGAACUCACCAUGGUGGAGUCCAAAUUUGGUCUUGUGCCCUUUGGAUCAGUUCUAUCAUACCAGUGCCCCCUAGAGAGCGUGCCCUGGUGGGGAAAGUGGACGCGGGGAAGAUCAAGCACAAGUGGGAGAACCUCAAACAAAAAUACAAGGGCCUUGAGGAAGAUGCUGCGCCACCGCGUCUUCAUCAUGCCAAUCGCCCUUUCCACCACACACCGUGCUUUGGCAUGAUGCC